CUGCAGCCGUUGUGCCCCACGCCUCCCGAUCAACGGGCCCUGGCAGCCAGAUUAGUCCCGCGCCCCGCCUCUGGCUCUCCUUCCUCCGCCUUCCGCGCGCAGCGCAGAGCGCACGGGACACCCGCCGCCCACGCCUUCCGCCCCAGACCCACUGCACGUGCACGGCCACGCGACCCAGCCCACACAUCCACUCCGCUUUUUCCAACCGCCGCCCACGCGAACCCCGACGCGGCCGCCUCGAGCUCCACUCCGUUUACCCUGCAACCCCAUCCUCCUCGGCUUCCCAUGUCGUGCUCGGCGGCGGCGGGCGCCGAGGCCACCGCUCUCCUGUUCCGCAGCGCCGCUCCGUCCACGAUCGUCGGGCGUCACCGCCUCGCUAUGUCUCGCCGGACUUCGCGCCGAAACCUCAGGACUGGUGUGCACCCUCAUCAGAAGAGUGCACCUAGUGCUAACCAUCGUAACAGGGCUAGCAUUCAGAGAGAUAGAGCAUCAGCUUCCAUUGAUGAAGAACAGAAACAGAUGUCUGAAGAUGAAAAUGGCCUACUAGACAUUCAACUGGAAGAUCUGGUAGGAAUGAUACAGAAUACCCAGAAGAAUAUAUUGCUUCUGAAUCAAGCUCGUCUUCAAGCAUUGGAACGUGCUGACAAAAUUCUUAAAGAGAAAGAAACUUUGCAACAGAAGAUAAACAUUUUAGAGAUGAAACUGUCAGAAACAGGUAAACAAUCUGUGCUUUCUAGUGAAGUAAAGUCUGAUGAAGAGAGUCUGGAGUUUGAUGUCGUAAAGGAAGAGAAUAUGCUACUGAAGGAUGAGAUGAAUUUUCUAAAAGGAAAGCUUAUUGAGAUAACUGAGACAGAGGAGAGUCUAUUCAAGUUGGAGAAAGAGUGUGCUCUUCUAAAUGCUUCCCUUAGGGAGCUCGAGUGUACAUCCACUUCUGCCCAAUCUGAUGUGUUGAAACUUGGCCCUCUGCAACAAGAUGCCUGGUGGGAGAAAGUAGAAAAUUUGGAAGACUUGCUUGAUUCCACAGCAAACCAAGUGGAGCAUGCUUCUUUGACGCUAGAUGGUUACCGUGAUUUCCAGGAUAAGGUUGACAAACUAAAAGCAUCAUUGGGAACAACAAACGUAUCAGAGUUCUGUCUUUAUUUGGUUGAUAUUUUGCAGCAAAGGGUAAAAUCAGUAGAAGAGCGCUUUCAAGCAUGUAAUCAUGAAAUGCAUUCACAAAUUGAACUUUAUGAACACUCAAUAGUGGAGUUUCAUGGUACUCUCAGCAAACUAAUAAAUGAAAGUGAGAAAAAGUCAAUGGAGCAUUAUGCAGAAGGCAUGCCAUCAGAGUUCUGGAGUAGGAUCUCUCUUCUGAUUGAUGGGUGGUCGCUUGAGAAGAAAAUAUCCAUUAAUGAUGCAAGUAUGUUGAGAGAAAUGGCUUGGAAAAGGGAUAAUCGCCUCCGGGAAGCUUACUUGUCAUCCAGAGGAAUGGAAGAGAGGGAACUGAUAGAUAGUUUUCUAAAGAUGGCACUACCAGGAACAAGUUCUGGUUUGCACAUUGUCCACAUAGCAGCAGAGAUGGCUCCUGUCGCAAAGGUUGGUGGUCUGGCAGAUGUGAUCUCUGGUCUUGGGAAGGCACUUCAAAAAAAGGGGCACCUUGUAGAGAUUAUUCUUCCCAAAUAUGAUUGCAUGCAGCAUAACCAAAUAAAUAAUCUUAAGGUUCUAGAUGUUGUGGUGAAGUCUUACUUUGAAGGAAAUAUGUUUGCCAACAAGAUAUGGACUGGAACUGUUGAAGGUCUUCCGGUCUACUUUAUUGAACCGCAACAUCCAGGUAAGUUCUUCUGGAGGGCACAAUACUACGGAGAGCAUGAUGACUUCAAACGUUUUUCGUACUUUAGCCGUGUUGCACUGGAAUUGCUUUACCAAUCUGGGAAGAAAGUUGACAUAAUUCACUGCCAUGACUGGCAGACUGCAUUUGUUGCACCUCUUUACUGGGAUGUAUAUGCAAACCUGGGCUUCAACUCAGCUAGAAUUUGUUUUACCUGUCACAAUUUUGAAUAUCAAGGAAUCGCUCCAGCUCAGGACUUAGCAUAUUGUGGUCUUGAUGUUGAUCACCUGGAUAGACCAGACAGAAUGCGGGAUAAUUCACAUGGCAGAAUAAAUGUUGUUAAGGGUGCAGUUGUAUAUUCCAACAUUGUGACAACUGUAUCACCAACAUAUGCACAAGAGGUUCGCUCAGAGGGUGGGCGUGGGCUCCAAGAUACACUCAAAGUGCACUCCAAGAAAUUUGUUGGAAUACUUAAUGGCAUUGACACAGAUACUUGGAAUCCGUCUACGGAUAGGUUUCUCAAGGUUCAAUACAGUGCUAAUGAUCUAUAUGGAAAGUCAGCAAACAAAGCAGCUCUUAGGAAGCAGUUGAAGCUUGCUUCCACACAAGCUUCUCAACCAUUAUUUCCUCAAGCAGGUUGGUUGCAUUACGAGGCUAGUUCCUCAAAAGGGUGUACAUCUCAUCAGGCAUGCAAUAUAUAAAAUAACUGAGUUGGGUGGUCAAUUUGUUCUGCUGGGUUCAAGUCCAGUACAGCAUAUCCAGAGAGAGUUCGAGGGUAUUGCGGACCAAUUUCAGAACAACAACAAUGUCAGGCUGCUUUUGAAGUAUGAUGAUGCUCUGGCACAUAUGAUCUUUGCAGCAUCAGACAUGUUCAUUGUUCCUUCUAUGUUUGAACCAUGUGGCCUCACUCAGAUGGUAGCUAUGCGAUAUGGUUCUGUGCCAGUUGUUCGGAGAACCGGCGGUUUGAAUGACAGUGUCUUCGAUUUGGACGAUGAAACGAUACCCAUGGAGGUGCGAAAUGGCUUCACCUUUUUGAAGGCUGAUGAGCAGGAUUUUGGUAAUGCACUGGAAAGAGCUUUCAACUACUACCACAGAAAACCUGAAGUUUGGAAACAGUUGGUGCAGAAAGACAUGAAGAUAGAUUUCAGCUGGGAUACUUCAGUUUCUCAAUACGAAGAAAUCUAUCAGAAAACAGCCACUCGAGCCAGGGCAGCGGCAUAAACAGCAGAGACAUUGAGACAGUUCCCUGCUGUCUCCAUGAAGUCUCCUAGAUGCUGUGCUUAACCGUAUGGUAAAGAAAUAUGGUCUGUAUCAGCUCAGAAUUAAGCAUCUGCCGAGGAAGCGCGGUGCAUCCGGACUCGGGUGUACAAGGGGCGACGUGGCGUUACGUGCAGUCCCCAACGAAGCAAAGAGACAGAAGUACAGCUGUACAGAACGGAUAUCUUGUGAAGCACACAUUGGGAUCAGGACGUUUGGUGCUGCAGCUACUUUCGGUGCAGAAGCACAUAUAUACGAGACCUGCCAGGGCGAGCAAAUACCCAGUUAUACACGCGAUUGCUCAGCUCUAUCAAGCUGUGAAUUGAAAGAUUUCUAUAGUGUAUUCACGCGACGUUUUCAUAAACUAGUGUGAGUUAUGUACUCUGACCAGUGACCAGUGCGAAGUCUGUGUUGUCUCAACAAUGUUGCUUGGUAUAAAAUGCUAAAAUGACGUUUAAGACGAGAGGGGUUUUUAGAAAAGAGAGAAAAUAAGAGUUUUAUGGGUAUGAAA